rfam:Syntrophobotulus glycolicus DSM 8271, complete genome.
GACAAUAAAAUAUUUCCGCUUAAGACAGUAGGUGCUUCAUUUAGCUUAAUGUCCUGCCGAGGUGGUGCUUUGUUUUGAUUAGAAGUCUUUUGAUAUUGCUCUGAUUAUGACAUUGACAAACCUCUGCAUGAAAGCGGAGGUUUUUUGAUUACCGGU